rnacentral:rRNA from 1 species
UACGGAGGGGGCUAGCGUUGUUCGGAAUUACUGGGCGUAAAGCGCGCGUAGGCGGCUUUGUAAGUUAGAGGUGAAAGCCCCGGAGCUCAACUCCGGAAUUGCCUUUAAGACUGCAUCGCUAGAAUCAUGGAGAGGUGAGUGGAAUUCCGAGUGUAGAGGUGAAAUUCGUAGAUAUUCGGAAGAACACCAGUGGCGAAGGCGACUCACUGGACAUGUAUUGACGCUGAGGUGCGAAAGCGUGGGGAGCAAACAGG